rnacentral:rRNA from 1 species
UACGAAGGGGGCUAGCGUUGUUCGGAUUUACUGGGCGUAAAGCGCACGUAGGCGGAUCGUUAAGUCAGGGGUGAAAUCCUGGAGCUCAACUCCAGAACUGCCUUUGAUACUGGCGAUCUUGAGUCCGGGAGAGGUGAGUGGAACUCCGAGUGUAGAGGUGAAAUUCGUAGAUAUUGGGAAGAACACCGAUGGCGAAGGCAGCCAUCUGGACCGACACUGACGCUGAGGCGCGAAAGCGUGGGGAGCAAACAGG